UACGAGGGGGGGCGAGCGUUGUUCGGAAUUAUUGGGCGUAAAGGGUGCGUAGGCGGUUUGGUAAGUCUGAUGUGGAAUCUAUGGGCUCAACUCAUAGUCUGCAUCGGAAAACUGCCCGGGGCUUGAGUAUGGGAGAGGUGAGUGGAAUUCCUGGUGUAGCGGUGAAAAUGCGUAGAUAUCAGGAGGAACACCUGUGGCGAAAAGCGGCUCACUGGACCAUAACUACUGAUGCACAAAA
rnacentral:rRNA from 1 species